GACGAACGCUGGCGGCGUGCCUAACACAUGCAAGUCGAACGAGGUCCAUGCAGUGGCAACACUGCGGAAGACCUAGUGGCGAACGGGUGAGUAACACGUGAGGAACCUGCCCCGAAGACCGGGAUAACUCUCCGAAAGGAGCGCUAAUACCGGAUACCCCCACCUAACCGCAUGGUCUGGUGAGGAAAUGGAUUCCGCUUCGGGAGGGCCUCGCGGCCUAUCAGCUAGUUGGCGGGGUAACGGCCCACCAAGGCAUCGACGGGUAGCUGGUCUGAGAGGACGAUCAGCCACACUGGGACUGAGACACGGCCCAGACUCCUACGGGAGGCAGCAGUGGGGAAUCUUGCGCAAUGGGCGAAAGCCUGACGCAGCAACGCCGCGUGGGGGAUGAAGGCUUUCGGGUUGUAAACCCUUUCAGCAGGGACGAAUCAAGACGGUACCUGCAGAAGAAGCCCGGCUAACUACGUGCCAGCAGCCGCGGUAAAGUCAC
rnacentral:rRNA from 1 species